GAUGAAGAACGUAGCGAAAUGCGAUAAGUAAUGUGAAUUGCAGAAUUCCGUGAAUCAUCGAAUCUUUGAACGCACAUUGCGCCCCCUGGCAUUCCGGGGGGCAUGCCUGUCCGAGCGUCAUUUCUGCCCUCAAGCACGGCUUGUGUGUUGGGUGUGGUCCCCCCGGGGACCUGCCCGAAAGGCAGCGGCGACGUCCGUCUGGUCCUCGAGCGUAUGGGGCUCUGUCACUCGCUCGGGAAGGACCUGCGGGGGUUGGUCACCACCAUGUUUUACCACGGUUGACCUCGGAUCAGGUAGGAGUUACCCGCUGAACUUAAGCAUAUCAAUAGCGGAGGA
rnacentral:misc_RNA from 1 species